UUCUGUGUUGGUGCAAUGUACUCAGGUGAAUAAGAUGCUUGCCCGGUGUGGAUAUACACUCAGAGUAACAUCACAAGCAUCUUAUUCACCUGAGUACAUUGCACCAACACAGAA